rnacentral:rRNA from 1 species
UACGAGGGGUGCAAACGUUAUUCGGAAUAACUGGGCGUAAAGGGUGCGUAGACGGUUUGUUAAGCUUGUUGUUAAAUUCCCUGGCCUAACUGGGGGCAUGCAAUGAGAACUGGCAUACUAGAGGAUGAGAGAGAAGAAUGGAAUUUCCGGAGUAGCGGUAAAAUGCGUAGAUCUCGGAGGGAACAUCGAUGGCGAAGGCAGUUCUUUGGCUCAUUCCUGACGUUGAGGCACGAAAGCGUGGGGAGCAAACAGG